AUGGCAACCCCUACCUGCCAGCAAUGCUGGGGGGCUGGAGCCAGGCCCUCCUCUGCAGGGCACAGCCAAAAGGUGGGAGCUGGCACAGGGAAGCCUUUCCUCCAAAGCAGAGACAUGUCAUGGAAGAACAACCCUAGCAUCCUUCUGAGAACGUCCAUGCUGUGGCUGGGUGCAAGGUCAGAGAGGAUCUGUAGAAUGCCAGCAGUCAGGAGGAAGUUGCUGAUGGAAGGUGAUACAGAUGCCAUGAUCUGGUGCAGGCGUGCCCCAGGAGGUACAGUACAAUGCCAUUAUGUCUACGUUCCAUCAAGAUUUCAGCUGAUGUAAUUGUUUUUAGGCAUUGAUUGUACCUACUGCAUUAUCUAUCAAGCAGAUGGUAGAGCUGCAGUAACACAUAAUGAUUGGCAACACCACAGCUACUGACUGCAUAGUGCUGCUUCACUCAAUUACAUAUUGAGGAUAUUUAGCUUUGUUUAAAGUCUUCUCUGGAAGUUAAAACUUCUUGACAAAGGCAAUUCAAUCCAGCCCAAGGAAAAUAAUCCAGUCUGAGCCUGACAAAGCAUUUAGAUGAGGCUAUUUAAAAGGAAAUGGUGCUCAGCAAAGUAUAACGAUCUCUAAAAUGAAUAACAUUUUGUAUUUACUCUCUCUGAUUUGCUAACUACUGAAAGAAAAACAUGUUUUGCUUGACAGUACUUGUUAUUAUGCAAACGAUUCUUUGUAGGGAAAACAUGCCCAAGAACUUCAGUGAAAGCUUCCUUAAGUGCCUUAACAUUAACAGCACCAUUUUUAUGAUGAAGGAUUAGCAAAUCUAAACCAGAAUAAGCAAGAAGACCCAGAGCAAAGCAAAAACAGAUUCACAGAAAUCAAGAUGUUUCAGCACAGAUAAUCGGGGGACGGGGGGGGCAUUAUCACAUCAGGUAUGCCACAAAUAUUAUUUAAAACACUCUUUGUUGUUCACAUGCAUCCAUUAUUAAUAGAGGUUCAACCACAAGAUUAAAUAUCAGCUCAAGGGUAUGUCUGUGUCAAACACAUGUACUUCAACAUGGAAGACAAGGAUUAUAAACAGAACAUCCAUACUGCUACGCACAGCAAUUGAGCUGAUUUGCCCCAUGGCACUGAGCAGGAAGCAGCCAAGAAAAACAGUGUUAGCAGCACUAUUCUGGCAAACAUGCUUGCCAGCACAGAGGAGAAAAAGACCUGCUGUGCCUUGCUGGAAAUACAUGUCUGGUAAAUAUACCUUCCUUUCUGUGCCAUGCACUGUUUUUUCCUCACUUAAUACCUGAGAUGAACUAGUAUCAGUGAACCAGUGCAAGCUGGCUCCCUAUUU
rnacentral:lncRNA from 1 species